rnacentral:rRNA from 1 species
GACGAACGCUGGCGGCGUGCCUAAUACAUGCAAGUCGAACGCAUUUUCUUUCACCGUAGCUUGCUACACCGAAAGAAAAUGAGUGGCGAACGGGUGAGUAACACGUGGGUAACCUGCCCAUCAGCGGGGGAUAACACUUGGAAACAGGUGCUAAUACCGCAUAAUUCCAUUUACUGCAUGGUAGAUGGAUGAAAGGCGCUUUUGCGUCACUGAUGGAUGGACCCGCGGUGCAUUAGCUAGUUGGUGGGGUAACGGCCUACCAAGGCUGCGAUGCAUAGCCGACCUGAGAGGGUGAUCGGCCACACUGGGACUGAGACACGGCCCAGACUCCUACGGGAGGCAGCAGUAGGGAAUCUUCGGCAAUGGACGCAAGUCUGACCGAGCAACGCCGCGUGAGUGAAGAAGGUUUUCGGAUCGUAAAACCCUGUUGUUAGAAAAGAACAAGGAUGAGAGUGGAAAGUUCAUCCCUUGACGGUAUCUAACCAGAAAGCCACGGCUAACUACGU